rnacentral:rRNA from 1 species
CCCCGUAGAUGAACGCUGGCGGCAUGCCUUACACAUGCAAGUCGAACGGCAGCACGGGGGCAACCCUGGUGGCGAGUGGCGAACGGGUGAGUAAUACAUCGGAACGUGUCCUGUAGUGGGGGAUAGCCCGGCGAAAGCCGGAUUAAUACCGCAUACGCUCUACGGAGGAAAGGGGGGGAUCUUAGGACCUCUCGCUACAGGGGCGGCCGAUGGCAGAUUAGCUAGUUGGUGGGGUAAAGGCCUACCAAGGCGACGAUCUGUAGCUGGUCUGAGAGGACGACCAGCCACACUGGGACUGAGACACGGCCCAGACUCCUACGGGAGGCAGCAGUGGGGAAUUUUGGACAAUGGGCGCAAGCCUGAUCCAGCAAUGCCGCGUGUGUGAAGAAGGCCUUCGGGUUGUAAAGCACUUUUGUCCGGAAAGAAAACAUGCCUGUUAAUACCGGGUGUGGAUGACGGUACCGGAAGAAUAAGCACCGGCUAACUACGUGCCAGCAGCCGCGGUAAUACGUAGGGUGCAAGCGUUAAUCGGAAUUACUGGGCGUAAAGCGUGCGCAGGCGGUUCGCUAAGACAGAUGUGAAAUCCCCGGGCUUAACCUGGGAACUGCAUUUGUGACUGGCGGGCUAGAGUAUGGCAGAGGGGGGUAGAAUUCCACGUGUAGCAGUGAAAUGCGUAGAGAUGUGGAGGAAUACCGAUGGCGAAGGCAGCCCCCUGGGCCAAUACUGACGCUCAUGCACGAAAGCGUGGGGAGCAAACAGGAUUAGAUACCCUGGUAGUCCACGCCCUAAACGAUGUCAACUAGUUGUCGGGUCUUCAUUGACUUGGUAACGUAGCUAACGCGUGAAGUGACCGCCAG